rnacentral:rRNA from 1 species
GUGGGGAAUAUUGGACAAUGGGCGAAAGCCUGAUCCAGCCAUGCCGCGUGUGUGAAGAAGGUCUUCGGAUUGUAAAGCACUUUAAGUUGGGAGGAAGGGCAGUAAGUUAAUACCUUGCUGUUUUGACGUUACCGACAGAAUAAGCACCGGCUAACUUCGUGCCAGCAGCCGCGGUAAUACGAAGGGUGCAAGCGUUAAUCGGAAUUACUGGGCGUAAAGCGCGCGUAGGUGGUUUUGUAAGUUGGAGGUGAAAUCCCCGGGCUCAACCUGGGAACUGCCUCCAAAACUGCAUGACUAGAGUACGGUAGAGGGUAGUGGAAUUUCCUGUGUAGCGGUGAAAUGCGUAGAUAUAGGAAGGAACACCAGUGGCGAAGGCGACUACCUGGACUGAUACUGACACUGAGGUGCGAAAGCGUGGGGAGCAAACAGGAUUAGAAACCCGAGUAGACC